AAGUUAUAUUGGAUUUAUGAGGGUUUUGAAAACCCUUAAUAAGUGUUCGAUUCACUUGUAACUUU
rnacentral:tRNA from 1 species